rnacentral:rRNA from 1 species
UCGGGAAUUUUGGGCAAUGGGCGAAAGCCUGACCCAGCAACGCCGCGUGAAGGAUGAAGUAUUUCGGUAUGUAAACUUCGUAAGAAUAGGAAGAAUAAAUGACGGUACUAUUUGUAAGGUCCGGCUAACUACGUGCCAGCAGCCGCGGUAAUACGUAGGGACCAAGCGUUGUUCGGAAUUACUGGGCGUAAAGCGCACGUAGGCGGAUUGUUAAGUCAGAGGUGAAAUCCCGGAGCUCAACUUCGGAACUGCCUUUGAUACUGGCAAUCUAGAGUCCGGAAGAGGUUAGUGGAAUUCCCAGUGUAGAGGUGAAAUUCGUAGAUAUUGGGAGGAACACCGGUGGCGAAAGCGGUUCUCUGGAUCGAUACUGACGCUAAGACGCGAAAGCGUGGGGAGCAAACAGGAUUAGAUACCCGGGUAGUCCCUGAGCGGGCUGGCAAGGCGCAU